rnacentral:rRNA from 1 species
AUUGAACGCUGGCGGCAGGCUUAACACAUGCAAGUCGAACGAUGACUCUCUAGCUUGCUAGAGAUGAUUAGUGGCGGACGGGUGAGUAACAUUUAGGAAUCUACCUAGUAGUGGGGGAUAGCUCGGGGAAACUCGAAUUAAUACCGCAUACGACCUACGGGUGAAAGGGGGCGCAAGCUCUUGCUAUUAGAUGAGCCUAAAUCAGAUUAGCUAGUUGGUGGGGUAAAGGCCCACCAAGGCGACGAUCUGUAACUGGUCUGAGAGGAUGAUCAGUCACACCGGAACUGAGACACGGUCCGGACUCCUACGGGAGGCAGCAGUGGGGAAUAUUGGACAAUGGGGGCAACCCUGAUCCAGCCAUGCCGCGUGUGUGAAGAAGGCCUUUUGGUUGUAAAGCACUUUAAGCAGGGAGGAGAGGCUAAUGGUUAAUACCCAUUAGAUCAGACGUUACCUGCAGAAUAAGCACCGGCUAACUCU